GAGCUGCUCUCUGCUGGACUAAAGAGUUCACACUGUAAACUGCAGACACUUGGAUUAAUAUAUGGUUGUAUGAUCACAGAAGAAGGCUGUGUUUCUCUGGCUACUGCACUGAAUUCAAACCCCUCCCACCGGAAAGAACUGGAUCUGACCUACAACCAUCCAGGAGAUUCAGGAGUAAAGCUGCUCUCUGCUAGACUGCAGGAUCCACACUGCACACUCAACACACUCAGGGUGGAACAUGGAGGGAAAAUCAGAAUCAAACCAAAGAAAUCAAAGAAAUGUAAGUACACA